rnacentral:rRNA from 1 species
UACGUAGGGCGCAAGCGUUAAUCGGAAUUACUGGGCGUAAAGCGUGCGCAGGCGGUUCGCUAAGACAGGUGUGAAAUCCCCGGGCUUAACCUGGGAACUGCGCUUGUUACUGGCAGGCUUGAGUGUGGCAGAGGGGGGUGGAAUUCCACGUGUAGCAGUGAAAUGCGUAGAGAUGUGGAGGAACACCGAUGGCGAAGGCAGCCCCCCUGGGCUAACACUGACGCUCAUGCACGAAAGCGUGGGGAGCAAACAGG